rnacentral:rRNA from 1 species
UACAGAGGGUGCUAGCGUUGUUCGGAAUCAUUGGGCGUAAAGGGCGUGUAGGCGGUUUGUUAAGUCAUGUGUGAAAUCCCCGGGCUUAACCUGGGAAUUGCGCUUGAAACUAGGUCGCUAGAGUGUGGCAGAGGGGGGUGGAAUUCCACGUGUAGCAGUGAAAUGCGUAGAGAUGUGGAGGAACACCGAUGGCGAAGGCAGCCCCCUGGGUCAA